GGACGCGAUCGUACCAACUCACUUGCACCGGAUCCUAUCAGAACUCCGAAGUUUAACGAGUUUAGGCAAGAGUAGUACUAA
rnacentral:sRNA from 1 species